GAUGAACGCUAGCGACAGGCCUAACACAUGCAAGUCGAGGGGCAGCACGAAGUAAGCUUGCUUACUUUGGUGGCGACCGGCGCACGGGUGCGUAACAGGUGUGCAAUCUGUCCAUAAUCGGGGAAUAGCCCAGCGAAAGUUGGAUUAAUGCUCCAUGUGAGUUUUAGAGGCAUCUCUUUAAUUUGAAACGUAAGGAUUAUGGGUGAGCACGCGUUCUGAUUAGGUAGUUGGUGAGGUAACGGCUCACCAAGCCGACGAUCAGUAGGGGUUCUGAGAGGAAGGUCCCCCACAUUGGAACUGAGACGCGGUCCAAACUCCUACGGGAGGCAGCAGUGAGGAAUAUUGGUCAAUGGACGGAAGUCUGAACCAGCCAAGUCGCGUGAAGGAUGAAGGUUCUAUGGAUUGUAAACUUCUUUUGUCUGAGGGUAAAAAAGCGGACGUGUCCGUUCUUGCAAGUAUCAGACGAAUAAGCAUCGGCUAACUCCGUGUCAGCAGCCGCCGUAAUAC
rnacentral:rRNA from 1 species